rnacentral:rRNA from 1 species
UGGGGAAUAUUGGGCAAUGGGCGAAAGCCUGACCCAGCAACGCCGCGUGAGAGGAGAAGGCAUUCGUGUUGUAAAUCUCUGUCAUUGGGGACGAAGGAAGUGACGGUACCCAAGGAGGAAGCCCCGGCUAACUACGUGCCAGCAGCCGCGGUAAUACGUAGGGGGCAAGCGUUGUCCGGAAUCAUUGGGCGUAAAGGGCGCGUAGGCGGUAUCAGAAGUCAGUUGUGAAAUACCCGGGCUCAACCUGGGAGGUGCAACUGAAACCAUGGUACUUGAGUGCAGGAGAGGAAAGUGGAAUUCCCAGUGUAGCGGUGAAAUGCGUAGAGAUUGGGAGGAACACCAGUGGCGAAGGCGACUUUCUGGACUGUAACUGACGCUGAGGCGCGAAAGCGUGGGGAGCGAACA